rnacentral:rRNA from 1 species
GAUGAACGCUGGCGGCGUGCCUAAUACAUGCAAGUCGAGCGAACAGACGAGGAGCUUGCUCCUCUGACGUUAGCGGCGGACGGGUGAGUAACACGUGGAUAACCUACCUAUAAGACUGGGAUAACUUCGGGAAACCGGAGCUAAUACCGGAUAAUAUAUUGAACCGCAUGGUUCAAUAGUGAAAGACGGUUUUGCUGUCACUGAUAGAUGGAUCCGCGCCGCAUUAGCUAGUUGGUAAGGUAACGGCUUACCAAGGCAACGAUGCGUAGCCGACCUGAGAGGGUGAUCGGCCACACUGGAACUGAGACACGGUCCAGACUCCUACGGGAGGCAGCAGUAGGGAAUCUUCCGCAAUGGGCGAAAGCCUGACGGAGCAACGCCGCGUGAGUGAUGAAGGUCUUCGGAUCGUAAAACUCUGUUAUUAGGGAAGAACAAAUGUGUAAGUAACUAUGCACGUCUUGACGGUACCUAAUCAGAAAGCCACGGCUAACUACGUG